rnacentral:misc_RNA from 1 species
GUUCCGUAGGUGAACCUGCGGAAGGAUCAUUACUGAGUGAGGGCCCUCUGGGUCCAACCUCCCACCCGUGUUUAUUGUACCUUGUUGCUUCGGUGCGCCCGCCUCACGGCCGCCGGGGGGCUUCUGUCCCCGGGUCCGCGCGCACCGGAGACACCAUUGAACUCUGUCUGAAGAUUGCAGUCUGAGCAUAAACUAAAUAAGUUAAAACUUUCAACAACGGAUCUCUUGGUUCCG